rnacentral:rRNA from 1 species
GUGGGGAAUCUUGCGCAAUGGGCGAAAGCCUGACGCAGCCAUGCCGCGUGAAUGAUGAAGGUCUUAGGAUUGUAAAAUUCUUUCACCGGGGACGAUAAUGACGGUACCCGGAGAAGAAGCUCCGGCUAACUUCGUGCCAGCAGCCGCGGUAAUACGAAGGGGGCUAGCGUUGCUCGGAAUUACUGGGCGUAAAGGGCGCGUAGGUGGACAGCUUAGUAAGAGGUGAAAGCCCAGGGCUCAACCUUGGAAUUGCCUUUGAUACUGGCUGUCUUGAGUUUGGGAGAGGUGAGUGGAACUCCGAGUGUAGAGGUGAAAUUCGUAGAUAUUCGGAAGAACACCAGUGGAGAAGGCGACUCACUGGCCCAAUACUGACGCGGAGGCGCGAAAGCGUGGGGAGCAAACAGGAUUAGAAACCCGAGUAGUCC